CAGUAGCCACGGUAAAACAGAGGGUGCGAGCGUUAAUCGGAAUUACUGGGCGUAAAGCGCGCGUAGACGGUUUGGUAAGUCAGAUGUGAAAUCCCUGGGCUCAACCUGGGAACUGCAUUUGAUACUGCCUGGCUAGAGUAUCGAAGAGGGAAGUGGAAUUUCCGGUGUAGCGGUGAAAUGCGUAGAUAUCGGAAGGAACACCUGUGGCGAAAGCACUCUGCUGGGCCGACACUGACACUGAGAGACGAAAGCUAGGGGAGCAAAUGGGAUUAGAGACCCCUGUAGUCCCUGUCUCUUAUAC
rnacentral:rRNA from 1 species